rnacentral:rRNA from 1 species
GACGAACGCUGGCGGCGUGCUUAACACAUGCAAGUCGAACGGAAAGGCCCCUUUGGGGGUACUCGCGUGGCGAACGGGUGAGUAACACGUUAGUAACCUGCCCUUGACUUCGGGAUAACUUCAUGAAACUGGGGCUAAUACCGGAUAGGAAUCCUUGCUGCAUGGUUGGGGUUGGAAAGCUUCGGCGGUUUUGGAUGGACUCGCGGCUUAUCAGCUUGUUGGUGGGGUAGUGGCUUACCAAGGCUUUGACGGGUAGCCGGCCUGAGAGGGCGACCGGCCACAUUGGGACUGAGAUACGGCCCAGACGCCUACGGGAGGCAGCAGUGGGGAAUAUUGCACAAUGGGCGGAAGCCUGAUGCAGCAACGCCGCGGGCGGGAUGACGGCCUUCGGGGUGUAAAACGGGUUCAGCAGGGGCGAAGCUUGUGGUGACGGUACCUGCAGAAGAAGCACCGGCUAACUACGUG